UACGUAGGGGGCUAGCGUUGUCCGGAAUCAUUGGGCGUAAAGAGCGUGUAGGCGGUCCGGUAAGUCCGUUGUGAAAGUCAGGGGCUCAACCCUUGAAUGCCGGCGGAUACUGUCGGGCUAGAGUCCGGAAGAGGCGAGUGGAAUUCCCGGUGUAGCGGUGAAAUGCGCAGAUAUCGGGAGGAACACCUAUGGCGAAGGCAGCUCGCUGGGACGGCACUGACGCUGAGGCACGAAAGUGUGGGGAUCAAACAGG
rnacentral:rRNA from 1 species